CCUACGGGUGGCAGCAGUGAGGAAUAUUGGUCAAUGGACGAGAGUCUGAACCAGCCAAGUAGCGUGAAGGAUGACUGCCCUAUGGGUUGUAAACUUCUUUUAUAAAGGAAUAAAACGAGGCACGUGUGCCUUUUUGCAUGUACUUUAUGAAUAAGGAUCGGCUAACUCCGUGCCAGCCGCCGCGGUAAUACGGAGGAUCCGGGCGUUAUCCGGCUUUAUUGGGUUUAAAGGGAGCGUAGGUGGGUCUUUAAGUCAGUUGGGAAAGUUUGCGGCUUAACCGUAGAAUUGCAAUUGAAACUGGCAGUCUUGAGUGCAGUUGAGGUAUGCGGAAUUCGUGGUGUAGCGGUGAAAUGCUUAGAUAUCACGAAGAACCCCGAUUGCGAAGGCAGCUUACUAAACUGUGACUGACAUUGAUGCUCGAAAGUGUGGGUAUCGAACAGGAUUAGAUACCCUAGUAGUC
rnacentral:rRNA from 1 species